AAGUUUCUCAGUGCCCCACCUAGAUUACUCUGGAGGUUGACACAACAGAGUUGCAAUUGGGAAGUCAAAAUCAUUUUGAUUUCCACCAUGGUGCACCCUGACCCAGACAAAAAUAUCCUGGAAAUACUGAGGAAGUUUAUGGUUUCAGGAGGUGCCCCUGCAUUAGUGAUGUCAAUUAUCAUAUUCCAGUAUGUUUUAAAACUGGACUUCACCUGUCCUUGUUCUUCAUCAAAGUAUCAACUUGUCAUUGUGGCAAUGUAUAUGGUGCUGCCUUUUUUCACACUGUUUCUUGUAGUCUGUUUGAAAGACAGACAGUUCAAGAAGACAAUCAAACAUUGUUUCGUUAAAUAUGGAAAAUGUCAAAAACAGUGUGAAUGCUCAAACUGCCUGCAAUUUUGCUUUCUUAUCUGUAAGUGUUUUCUUAAAGGGGGGGUAAUUGCCAUGAUAUGGGUAAUAACAGCAUUAUUUGAUGGAGAGUGGUACAUAUGUUUAAUGACUUAUGGUGGCGAGCAUGAACAACUCUUGUGCAAGAAGAACCGUACUCAAGCAGACAGUCUUACUUUCAACAAGUUGAAGAGUGAAUCACAAGUAAUUGGAUUCGGGUGCCUUUGUGUAGUUUUACUUCUCUGGAUAUUACUCCCUCCUCUCUUUUUAAUGAAGCGUCCAUUCUAUGAAUUAAAGUAUGAAAAAUAUAAAGAAAAGGAGACACACUUGUAUAUAAAAAAGAAAAUACAAGAGCUAGCAAAAGACAAAGCUAAAAUCAUGUGUAUUGAUAUAU